GCCCCCGUAGCUCAGGGGAUAGAGCAACGGCCUCCGGAGCCGUGUGCGCAGGUUCGAAUCCUGCCGGGGGUG
rnacentral:tRNA from 1 species